rnacentral:lncRNA from 1 species
CUCACAUAUAUAUGUGUGUGUGUGUGUUCUCCCAUACUAAAUGGUUAUAUAUAUCAUAUAAUUAAGCUAUACUUUGUACUGAAGAUUGUGUCCUAUGUUUUAUAUGCAUUAUUCCAUUUAAUCUUCAAAGUCACCCUGUUGAGACACGAUUAUAAUCUCUACCACACCAGUGAGAACACUGAGACCCUUAGAAGCUAUGUAACUGGUCUGAAGUUAUAACUAGUGCAACAGAGCCACCAUCAAACGCAGAUCAGUUUGACCCGACUAGCUAGCAUUUUGAACUGCUGUACAGAGUAUCUCAACAGAAGAGAAAUGUUACAUGUUAUUUUUAGAGACAUCUGAACACUAGAUUUAUCUGUUUCGCUCUCUGGAAGCUGUGAGUUAGAUUUGUAGCUGAAAGCUUUGGUUGUCAGCUUUGGUUGUUUCCAUGCAACUGAGAGCAACUAGGACUAAAGAGACACAGAAGGAAGCCACGUGAGGUGAUUUGUCCCCUGGGUGGUUCUCGCCACGGGCUUCUUGAUCAUUUCACAGACAUUUACAUCAAGCAGCUUCUUGGUCAGGGCAGCGCAGCAUCCUGUCUCACAGGUGCCUUUGAUUGCACUAUAAGGACCCCAUUUCCUCCUCCCCCUUUCCCUUCUCUGGUGCCAGGGAAGCCCAUUUGCAAAUCAACACCAUUCCUGAAAAUCCUGACCCCUCUGAUUCCUGGAGCACGGGGUUUUUUAAAUGCUUUUCCUGCCUUGAAGAUUACAGAUCUAUCUAGACAGCCUUUAAGCUGAAUCUCCAAUGCCAAGUUCUGCAAAAUGCUGAUAAAUGUUUUAAAGAAGUACUGAAUAAUGCCUUCUCAUCCCUGAUCGUGGUACUGCUUCCUAUUGAGCCCCAGAAAUGACAGUGGUGAUGGUGAUGAUGGUUGUAGAGAAGACCCACAGAACUGAAGCAACCACAGGGUCCAAAGCAACCGGUUCUUGCAGUCCUGCAGGAAGGAUUUCCAAGGAGUGGCUCAGAGCAACAGACAGGAGUUUAUUAGAGAAAGUGAGAUAAGGACGCACAGUCUAGGCACUGGGGGGACCAUCUCCAGAGAGAAUGGUGUAACUAAGAGUCUGAGAUUUGGGUCUCUUUGUUCUUAAAGCCUCAGUUUCUCACACCCUUAAGUGGCUUAUUACUACCCUUUCUAGAGCCCCCUCAGCAAGUUUCUUCAUCAGAGGAGGGAGUGACAUGGUCUCAGUAAUGACCUGGUCACAAUGGGAGGAUCAUAAUGACCUGGUAAUAAGAGAUAAGGUGUGUGUGUGUGUGUGUGUGUGUGUGUGUCCUUAGUUUCAUUUUUGCAGUACUGAGGAUGGAACCCAGGGCCUCACACAUUCUAGGGAAGCACUCUACUCAGCCACAUCCCCAGCCUGACAGAUAAGGCCCUGAAACAAUAGUUCCCCAAGGGGUUAUAAUUAACUAUGGCUGUUGGAGGUUUGACAAUCAGUUCCCUUUUCCUGAUGCCUGUCUUCUUUCAUAAAGUUUUCUGUUAUUCCCACCCUGUGACUUAUGGAUUCUCUUUGUGACUUAUGGAUUCUCUCUGACCUCCCUAUAAGUUUCUGCCCUUCAUUGUCUUCCUCCACUCACAUGCUCAUGACUAAACUAUCUACUAUCAAUUAUGAUGGUGGUGGUAGUGGCCUGGUGGUGGUGGCGGGGGUGAUGAUGGUGAUGGUGGUGAUAGUGAUUGUGGUGGCAAUGGUGAUUGUGGUGGUGAUGGUGAUGGUGAUGUCAUGGUGGUGGUGAUGGUGGUGAUGGUGAUGGUGAUGGUGAUGGUAAUGGUGGUAAUGGUGGUGAGGUGGUGAUGGUGGUGAUGGUGGUGGUUGUUCCCUAUUUAUUAAUUGAGUACUUACUGUGUUUCAGACACCUAGUACAAGCAUGUUACCUCUCUGUGAAGUAGAAGAAAUAAAAAUAUUGAAGACCAAAAAAAGAAUAAUAAAAUAUAAUUUUAAUCUACAGUUCCACAUACUUUCUUCCCAGGUCUAUCACUCCCAAAUUCUGGGAAAUCUGUAAAUCUUAGAAUACCAUAAAUUCACUCGCUUAUGAAGAUAACUUUGUGCACAGUUAACUAGGCCACAUAAUAAAAAAAUUAAUCAAAUAUAUGUAAUAUUUUAAGAAGCCUAUAAUCUCAGUUACUUUCCAGUGUUG